GCAUCGUUGGUUCAGUGGUAGAAUGUUCGCCUACCAUGCGGGCGGCCCGGGUUCGAUUCCCUGCCGAUGCA